rnacentral:rRNA from 1 species
GAAGAAGGCCUUCGGGUUGUAAAGCACUUUCAGUCGUGAGGAAGGUAGUGUAGUUAAUAGCUGCAUUAUUUGACGUUAGCGACAGAAGAAGCACCGGCUAACUCCGUGCCAGCAGCCGCGGUAAUACGGAGGGUGCGAGCGUUAAUCGGAAUUACUGGGCGUAAAGCGCAUGCAGGUGGUUUGUUAAGUCAGAUGUGAAAGCCCGGGGCUCAACCUCGGAAUUGCAUUUGAAACUGGCAGACUAGAGUACUGUAGAGGGGGGUAGAAUUUCAGGUGUAGCGGUGAAAUGCGUAGAGAUCUGAAGGAAUACCGGUGGCGAAGGCGGCCCCCUGGACAGAUACUGACACUCAGAUGCGAAAGCGUGGGGAGCAAACAGGAUUAGAUACCCUGGUAGUCCACGCCGUAAACGAUGUCUACUUGGAGGUUGUGGCCUUGAGCCGUGGCUUUCGGAGCUAACGCGUUAAGUAGACCGCCUGGGGAGUACGGUCGCAAGAUUAAAACUCAAAUGAAUUGACGGGGGCCCGCACAAGCGGUGGAGCAUGUGGUUUAAUUCGAUGCAACGCGAAGAACCUUACCUACUCUUGACAUCCAGAGAACUUUCCAGAGAUGGAUUGGUGCCUUCGGGAACUCUGAGACAGGUGCUGCAUGGCUGUCGUCAGCUCGUGUUGUGAAAUGUUGGGUUAAGUCCCGCAACGAGCGCAACCCUUAUCCUUGUUUGCCAGCGAGUAAUGUCGGGAACUCCAGGGAGACUGCCGGUGAUAA